CCUACGGGAGGCAGCAGUGAGGAAUAUUGGUCAAUGGACGCAAGUCUGAACCAGCCAUGCCGCGUGCAGGAAGACGGCUCUAUGAGUUGUAAACUGCUUUUGUACGAGGGUAAACGCAGAUACGCGUAUCUUUCUGAAAGUAUCGUACGACUAAGACUCGGCUAACUCCGUGCCAGCAGCCGCGGUAAUACGGAGGAUUCAAGCGUUAUCCGGAUUUAUUGGGUUUAAAGGGAGCGUAGGCGGUCGGAUAAGUUAGAGGUGAAAUCCCGAGGCUCAACUUCGGAAUUGCCUCUGAUACUGUUCGGCUAGAGAGUAGUUGCGGUAGGCGGAAUGUAUGGUGUAGCGGUGAAAUGCUUAGAGAUCAUACAGAACACCGAUUGCGAAGGCAGCUUACCAAGCUACUUCUGACGUUGAGGCACGAAAGCGUGGGGAGCAAACAGGAUUAGAUACCCGAGUAGUC
rnacentral:rRNA from 1 species